UACGGGCGGGGCGAGCGUUGUUCGGAUUCAUUGGGUGUAAAGGGUGCGCAAGCGGUCGGCUAAGUCGGGGGUGAAAUGUCUACGGCUCAACCGAGGCAUUGCCUUCGAUACUGGCCGACUUGAGUGCGGAAGGGGAGCGUGGAAUUCCUGGUGUAGCGGUGAAAUGCGUAGAUAUCAGGAGGAACACCCGUGGCGAAGGCGACGCUCUGGUCCGUAACUGACGCUCAUGCACGAAAGCCAGGGGAGCGAACGGG
rnacentral:rRNA from 1 species